rnacentral:rRNA from 1 species
AGAACGGUUCCUUCGGGGAUUUAGUAAAGUGGCGAACGGGUGAGUAACGCGCGGAUGAUCUGCCCUCAAGUGGGGGAUAACUCGGGGAAACCCGGGCUAAUACCGCAUAAGCCCUUCGGGGGGAAAAGUAUUUAUAUUGCUUGAGGAGGAGUCCGCGUCCGAUUAGCUAGUUGGUGGGGUAAGAGCUAACCAAGGCGACGAUUGGUAGCCGGUCU